CCGAACUGGUGAAACCCCAGGCCACCAAAGUGGAGUGUGCAAACCCAACCACUCUGCCAUGGGGCCAGUCUCCCAGGGCAUACUGUAUUGUGAUGCUAACAUAUGCAGCCUGAAGGGGAAAAUAUGGGGUGUUAAUAAUGUUGAUAUAAGUUGUAUUAGCUGAAUGUCACAUUAUAUUUUGGUGCUUUGGUUCAAAAACAAAAUUAUCACCUUAUCACAAAGUUUUAGCAUCUUGGAGGAACAUUCAUUUGAAAAGCUAUAUAAUAAUAAACAUUUUUGUUUCUUCCCACAACUAGCUGGUGAUGAUUUUGUGAGUCCUUUCUCUUAAGAUUAGGAUUUCUUUCACAUUCUGGUCUCCUCUAGAGGUCGAUUCAUGAAGUCUUGAAUAGCCUGAUGCAAAGGAAGCCAUUUUUUGAUAGACAUUUUCAGAGCUGUAAUCCAGCUGCAGAAACAACAGUGCAGGACAGAACCAAAUUAUGAACCAGAUGCCCAUUAGUGCAUGCCGAGCUGGAUACUGAACAUAAUGAAUUUGAUAGGUGUGGCACAAAGGGAUCAUCUGAGCAGUCAUCCUUUGCCAGUGGUCAUCGACUCCCAGAACUGAUGGCAUCAGCACCAAGGCUGUUUGACUUCAAAGAAGCCGCUGCCCUAAGAGAUUCUAUUGCUGAGGCAAUGUGAGUACUUGAGCAACUAGCCUGAAAUCCUGACUUUAUCCAUUAGCCAUAGAGAACUUCUCUCUUUUCAUGUCCACUGACAUCCCUUCUCUUUGGCUUCUGUUCUAUGUGAGGAAGUCAAAAGAAUAUGAGAGAUGUAUAGAAAGGAAAUGAAAAUGGGCACCUCAGCAAAAGCUAUUUUUAAUGGCUCUGUCUAUAUGUACAGGCCCUGAUGUGCUAUUUCACUCACCAUUGGGAUUGUCCUCCUAGCCCUGUUCCUGGUGUAUCCACUGUGACUAAUAGCAGCCCCUGGUUCAUGCUUUACUUUGUCUAGAACUCCCAUUUAUGCAAAGGAACAAGUUAAAUGCCCCAGGCUAGAUCCAGCCUUAGGCUCUCACGGUCAGUGAUGUGGAAGACCCAUGAUAAAUCAAGAUCCUCUACUCUGGAGAGCAGCCUUCGGUGCACAGCCCUGAGAGGCAGGCUUUUCCUGGGAACUUGACCUGAGGCAGCGAGCAUGGUGCUUCAUCUCUUUAUCAGAACGCCCUGCUGGGUGUUGGCCAGUUUCUCUUCUUUAUUUGGUUUCAUUUUUGCUCUUUAGUUUUAACAAGACAGUGCCAAAGAUUUCAGAAUGCAGAGCUGACUGUAUGUUGUGCUGUGAAGUGGGAGCCUGCUGGGAGUUUGGGUGUUCCUUUUACACUCUGCUGCAGAUACUCUGAGUGCAUUAGCAGAAUAGAUCCCUCUUAAAAAUAUCAAGGCUCAUUAGGAUGACGCACUGGAGAGAUGGAUGAGUGCAUUGAGCGUUGUGUUCCAGGUAAAAUGAAACACAAGUCCUGCUGUUUGUCAUAAGAUGAUCCAGGGACUGUUCUGAAAGGACAGUUACAAGGCACAGGGCAGUACAUUUCAGCUCAAAAAUCCAAUUUUCCUGAAUGUACAAGAAUCAAAACAUGUACAGAAGAUAAUUGAUAGCAAAUACCUCUUGCUUGUAUGCUAUUUUGAGAGGAAAUGAACAUGUUUAAAAGGAAAUCUAUAACCUUAUUAGAAAUCAUAUCCAAAGCAUAAAAAUGAAACAAGUGAGUAUUAAAGCAACCCUCCCCGCCUCCCCACCCCCAUCCCACACCGCGUGCCAAGCCAGGUCAUAGCACUGGCUCAGAAAGAGGGUAUCAGAUGCCUUGGGGGCUGAAGUUAUGGCUCAUGUGUUGAUGUUAUGAAGUUAUCUAUCAGUUUAUAGGACAAGUCUCAAUUAAAAAAUAUAUUGCUUCAAGGCUAGGAAUCGUGAAUAGGCAGAAUUGGUGAAAUUUGGCCUAAUACAUCUCUGGAACAAGGAUAUGAACGUAAAGCACUGCAUUUCUGAACAUGAGACAUUCAUUUUCUAAUAAGCUGCUCGGCCGACAGCACUAUCCCGAUGUCCCUGAGAGCUUGUACUGAGGGAGUGCAAAGAAAACAGAAGCAGUGAUUUAACUUCACGGGGAACAACCGGACUGCUCCGUGUGGAACAAAUUCCAUCCCGGUUUGUGACUACCCACCGAGCUCACUGAGAGAAAUGUCAUACAAACCCCUGAAAGUAAAAAGAACAGCAGGAAAGCAAUCCUCCCCCUGGAAUCUGAGUGGGAAACCCUGUUGACUUAAAAUCCUCUUUCUCAGCUUUGAGAGCAGAUCUGAGAAGUCCCAGGGCAGACUGCAUGACAUCUAACUUGGUCCUUUCUACCUCUGAGGAGAAAAGCAGAAUGAAGGGAGGGAUAAAUAUCAAGGACAACUUACCUGGCGGACAGGAUGCACUGCUUUGUCCAUUGCCUCAAGCCAUCUGAAAGACAGUAAAAUGAGCGGCGCUCUCCUUAAGGGGCUGGGUAAGUGUCACACGGAGGGGCCUGUUCUCCCUAAAACCCGUCGUUCAGACAGAACAGUCCUGAGGCUCAGAUAUAUUUCACUGCUCUAAGUUCAAGGUUGAAGGGCGACACAUUCUUACAAAAUUGACAUUACUAGGUGGCAAAAACCCACUCCCAUUGGGCAUAUUUAAAGUAAAUUAUUCUCAUUCUCCUCCUUUACUAUAGUUUAAUUAGCGCCUAAAAGAAAAUUCGUUCACUUUUUAUUUUACCCAGGUAUGUGAAUUUAUUAACACCAGCAGGGCUGAUGAUAAUUGGUAUAUUAACAGUAAGACACUGGCUAUUAAAAUAGGGAAAGACUGGUAAAUAGUCACUGUCUUGAGCCUGUCCCCAAGUGUUCUUUGAACAUAGUGGCGACCUUUAGAGCACCAUUAGUGCUGCUGCUUGAGCACUGGAUUUUCUUAGUCUUGUCUCCUUAGCCAGGUACCAGCCUAUCUACCACACCCCAUCUUGUCAAUCUUCUUCCGUUUUCUUUUAAAUCCCCUGACAUUCAAUCAAACAUACUGCUUGCUCUUCUCCCCAAAGCUUGACUUAUUCCCUCUGCCCUCUUCUGUUCCCUUUCUUCUUUGGUUUGCUUAUCUGAUCCUAUACCACACCUUUCAUAAACUCCGCCAUCAUCCCACAUCCAGAGACCUUCUCUCCCUACUCUCAACUCCUGUGCCACUCUGUCUUCUUCUAUAGCACUUCUUGAUUUCCAUUUUGCAUUAAAAAUAUUGGAAUAAAUGACCUAUCUUCUUGGCUUAAAGCUUUUUCGAAGGCAAGAAUUGGCGCUUAAUCAAUCUAAUGGCUCGCAGAGAAUUCAAAACAGUGUCUUAGACAUAUUAGCUAUCCAAUAAAUAUUUUGUCCAUGAAUUGAAAUACAAUCAAGCCACUAUUAUCAUAUUUCUCUGUUUGUCCUUUAAGCAACAUGCAUUUGAAUACAUAAUGUUCCACAAAUAGAACAGUAUAUUGUUUGCCUAAGAGGUUUCAGACCCAGGCCUCUCUUGAAAACUGGAGCUGAGUCCAAAUCCUCUUAAAGAGAUAUGCCACUGACACUCAAUGCUAUAGACCCAUUACCUUUUUGUCAUUGUGUGUCUCGCAGCCACUCCAUGUCAUCCCUCACCCUAAAUGAGCAGUUACUUACACAACAGUUUUCAGUAGACUCACUGGAUUGACCAAUGAUCUCUGUUCCCUCAGGGUGAUACAUUGAAUAAUGAUCAGAAGUCGCUGAAUGCUGGGAGUUUGCAGGCUACCCUCUUAGAAUGCCUGCACACUUCCCCCCUCCACUUGGGUUGCAUGCUUACAAAACGUCAGCUCGAUUCCUUGCCCACAAAGCUCCAUUAUUAUUAUUUAUUUUGCUCAUCUCACUGUGGUGUGCUAAAUGGUAACUCUACUACGUUAUUUUUAUACCUGGGACUAUCCAUCCAAUUAGCUUAAAAUAUAUAAAUCUGGUAACUUUUUUUGGGAGGCUAGAGCAUUGAGCUUUUUUAGAAAAUGUGGAGAUAUAAAAUAAAUGGGUUAGGAGAAGGUUCUGUUCUUUAGAAGUUCUGUUAGAAAAAAGCUGGGGGAAUAGUGAAGAACCAAACUUCUCAUACCUAAGAAAAAGACAGUUUAUUGACUUGUGCUAUGCGUUUGCUUUUCCCUUCCCUACUUCCAGUCCCAAGAGUCUGUAAGCCUGUUGUUGAAAAAGCAUUCCCCUACCCAAAGUGAAACUGGUAAAAUGUUAACGAGCCACCUUUUCAUUUCUUGGUUUGAGGUUGCACAGAGGCAAAAAGUUCUCUUUCCAGACUGAGGCACACAGUUAAACACAAAUGGUUUUCCCAAGCUGUGAUCGAUGCCAACUUCUGCACCUUCUAAUUUUACCACCUCCAGAGGCAGGCUUUUUCCUUCGUCCUGUAAUUGAUAAGAAAUAGGUUCAGCAUGGGUGCCGCAACUAAGCAGACAAGGGAGAAAAUGAGAGUGGAAAGGAGGCCCAUAGCUAUUUUUUUAAAUUGAUUGUUCUGAAAUGAAACUAAAGUCAAAAUGAGUUUUCAUAGAUUAUGUUCUCCAUGAUAUAUUCCACCAAACUCCAUAUUUCCCACUACGAUACUUUUCCAUAACCGUUUUGAAUUGCCUCUGUUAAUAUGCAUCUUAUUUAUGCCGAUUUGGGAAAGUAUCAUUAAUUAUUAAUACCCAUUUUUUCCUAUCAGCAAAAAAGAACAUCAAAAGAAACUGAUAUUACAAAAUAUAUGUGGUUGGUAGUGACAUGAGAUCUCCAGUCAGCGUUUAUAAUUAACAUGUAUCCCAUGCUUGUGGUGUGUCAGGCCCUUUUUCUAAAUUCUUUAUAUCUAUUAAUUGGUUUAUCUUCACAAAUGUCCGCAAGGUAGUUACUUUUAUCUUCUCUAUUUUGCAGAUCAGGAAACUACAGGAUAGAGAGAAUAAAGAACAUUUUUCUUUAAAUGAUAGUAGUUUAAAAUAUUAUGACAUGUAUGCAAGACUAAAAUUAUUUUACAGGUAAAUAUUUUAUUUAUAUUUAUUUUACAAUUAUAUCUCAAAACACCCUGUCCAUUAUUCAUGUCUUUUCUAAAAACAGCUACACUGAGGUAUAACUUACAUACCAUAAAGUCACUCAUUGUACAUAUAUAAUUCAGUGACUUUUAGUAAAUUUAUAAAGCUGUGAAACGAUUGCCACAAUCCAGUUUUCGAACUUUUCCGCCAACCUCCAAAUUUUCUUUGAGUCUGUUUGCAGUCAGCUGCCACUUUCGCCUCUCCAAUUACAGGCAAUCACAGAGCUGUUUUCUGUCCCUAUAAAGUUGCCAAUUCUGGACAUUUCAUACAAGUUGAAUCACACACUAUGUGGCCUUCUUUCACUUAGUGUAAUGUUUUCAAGUUUCAUCCAUGUUGUAGCAUCCUUUUUAUUGCUGAACUUUAUUCUAUUAUACGGGUGUGCCUAAUUUAGUUAUCCAUUCAGAAGUUGAUGGAGAUUUUUCUUUCCAGUUUUGGGCUAUUUUUAAUAAUGCUUCUAUGAAAAUUUGUGUACAGGUC